GCUCACUCAUUGGUGCCCCUCUAACAUGAGCUAGCUUUAUCUUCCAGCCACUGCUCUGAAGGCACUGUAAUGUUUCUGUUAAAAACCAGUCACAGAGAGAGAAAAAACUAUACUGGGACCCUUUCUGUUUCUAUUCCACAAUGCACCAAGGAAGGCUUCUGUUGUCUGUGCUGUAACUGUUUGGUUCCAUCAGCAGAAUCAGCAGGCAUCAAGGUGCAGGAAGGCACUUGUCUGCCAUGAUGCUGUACAGGAGAUCCAGGUGUCUCCAGCUUUGCACCCAUAUUAGUGCAGACUUGAAGCUGGUUUCCUGAAGAAGUUCCAGAUGGACCACAAGAUAUCCCAAACAUUCAAAAUCUUCAAACUCUUGCUGGAUGAGAUUCUCAGGAAGAAGAGAAAUGCCCAAGAAAAAAAACAUGUUUGGCAGUGAGUAAAAUCAUGCUGAAAGAUUACCAAGGCUGAGCUCCAUUUCCCUACAAUUACAGACAUCCUUAUUGCAAAGUGGACAGGUCAGAGCUUAGCUUAAAAAGCAGCCUGGGCCCUAAUCUGUAUAGCCAGGUGGGUGAGAGAACACACACUCCAAGCGUGUGAGCACUGGCAUAAUGGUUCUUUGUCUCAGUGGUUAAAGGAUUUAGGGAAGUUUGGAUAAACCUACAACACAGCACCAAGCACAAAGGACUCACACACAUGCAAGAGGCUUUCUCUUUUUUAACCACUCUGUUUGGGGUUAAGCGACUCCACGUGGUACUCAUGCACACGGGCACUGUGCUGCAGGAAAUCCACCAGCUGCAAUCAAAGUAUCAGAAGGUGACUGGAGCUGCACACAGCAGUGGAAGGAGCCUCAUCUGAACAAAUGGAUGCCACUACAGUGAUCACAACGUGCCCAGCAUGAGGCUGGGACACUGGUAAUUGUGCAAAGUGCUCUCUAUUCAUCAUCCCUUACCGAAGCUGUGUUUUUGAUUGUGUCUUUCAAAAACACAUCAGGGCCACUUCUUUCUGGCCCUCAGCAAGAUGCAAUUUUCUCUCUCCUCCUGGAGAGCACAUUUUAAUCAACCUGCAAAGGACCAACACAUUUAAUUGGCCCAAGGAGCUAAUUUGAAAUCUUCAUUCCUAGCUUAAGAUUCACUCCAAAUACACUUUAUGAAUAAGCAAUAUAAAUGCGGUUAAUUUUAGGUUCACAUUUUUCCAAGGGUCCCAAAAAUCCUCAUUGUGGCUAUGAUCUCCUGUACAUGGAAACAACUAAGGUCACAAAUGAGAACAGUUAAUCAUCUGCCUAAAGCACCAGGUCUCUGGACCUCCCUCCAGAGGUCAUUCAUUGCAGCCACAGCUGACUGCAGGAACAAAAUUGGAAACUGCUUCCCACACACAGAACCAUAACAUCACUGAUGCAAUGGAAAGGAGAAGGAAAUAUGAGAGCUUCAUUCCUCCUUCACCUUAAAGAACAAACAAACACACAAACAAAAACCACAAAGACAACAAUGAAAAGCCAGGAGGACUAAUGGACAGCUUCUGACAAAGCCAAAAGUGAUUGCUCAGUCUAUUCAAAAAUAACUGCAGAUGACACUAAGAUAGGCUGCCAUCAUCUUUUGUUUAGCAAGCUUCAAAGGAAUAAGAAUAAACUCUUAACACUUAUUUCUUUUGUUUUCUUCUAGCUAGCUGCAAAGUAGCUUGUCUGGGCACAGCUAAUUACCUUCCUACACUCUAGGCUUGUUUAUUCUGCCAAGAUUCAACUUACAACUAGUAAUUAAAGCAGUGUAACACUUUGCAUAGACCUGUCUUAAUCUUGGCCCACACUAGACUGACCCUCUGCACCGCCUCAGGUGCUGGCUAAGGAAGGUAGUGACCAUGACAUGGCUAGCCCUAAACUUAAUACUCAGAGCUAUUACCCUUCCAAGUACUUUCUAGAUUGAUAUUAUCUUCCUAUUUCUGCAUGCUAUUGCCAGAUUCACCUCCUGGUCCCUUUCACCUCCCUUCAGCAAUUACCAUUUCAUAGAAUCAUAGAAUGGCCUGGGUUGAAAAGGACCACAAUGAUCAUCUGGUUUCAACCUCCUUGCUAUGUGCAGGGUUACCAACCACCAGACCGGGCUGCCCAGAGCCACAUCCAGCCUGGCCUUGAAUGCCUCCAGAGGUGGGGCAUCAUUUUGCUGAAUUUCUCUUUCUCACACUAUGACUUCUGGAUUAUUCUGUUCUCGGAUUUAGAGCCUCAACAUUGUUUUUCUCUCAGGUUUUUCAUCUAAAUCAUAUUUGUAUUGCCUUUUGUCAACACAGGUUGUCAAAAACCUCUCCUGUCUUGUCAGUUGUUUACAUUGUUGCUCAGGAUAGAAGACCAUUUAAAAUUUCCAGCUCAGCACCAGAAGAGCCGGGCACAUUGCUCAAGAAACAAGACAUUGCACAAGAAAUACAUUCCCUAUAGACAUUCUUAGAUGGUAAACUGGAAGUUGCAGGCAACCAAACUCUGUUUUCUUUGUGAUUCAUGGGGGAUUUGCAUCUACAACAGACACCCCACAUAAGAAUAAUUACUUGCCUACAUCCUUAACAAACCACACUACUGAGAAAGACUUCCCAGAUGCAUUUUACACGAAAAAGGUUCAAGUGAUGGCCUUCUGCUGUGUUUACAAACCUGAGCAAGAGGCACUCCUUUGAGAUUAUAAGGAGAAUUUUAGAUUUUCUAGCUUGUUUCAGCAUUGACUUAUUGCUUAUUGUUUUAUGAGGAGUAUCUCAGUGACUGCUAAAGAUCUUUUCUGUAGAAAUGUCUAUAUAAAAAGGAGUCAUAGCACCCCAUGAAAUAGCAUACAUAAUUAAAGUCUUGUUGCUUCAGAUACAAUGAGGUAAUAAUAAUAAUAUAAGAACAAGAUUGUAGACUGCAAAUAGAAAAAAGUAAUAGGCACUUUGUUUUAUUUAAGUUUCUCUAUCUGCUUGCAAAGAUAGCCUCCUUCUCUAAAUAGUGGAUUGCUUUAAACUCCAUGGCUGUAACACAGCCACCCUAGACAAAAUUUAAGGUUUCUGUACAGAUAGCAGUCACUUUUAAUGAUGGUUUGAAUUUGAAAACACUAAUUUCUUCAGCUCAUGAAGGUGACAAUUAAUUCAGUCUGUGGAAUAGUCUCCAGGAUGCUGAAGCUGGGCACUUCUACACACUCCCUUGGGAUGCUUGGAGCCCAACUGCCCCUGGGCCAACUAUCCAGCACCUGUUGUGUCCCAGUAAGACAGCCUGAGGCUGAGCUCUGAGAAAAGGCCGUAUAAAAUACUGUAUAAGAGAGCCAUUUUCAGUCUGCUGUAAUGCUAGUGGGCAUGCAACAAUGGAGUCACAUUUUGAAUGUGUCAGCUCUGCUUAGCAUCCUUUCAUGUUUUCCUUUUUGUCACGCUGUUGACUAACCUGACAGUUUAAUACAGCAUGAAGUGAGGCAACAUGAUUGAAGAGCUUGAGAAAUAUUUCACCAAAUUCUUCAUGAUAGAAGUCAUCCAAAUCCAACUGCUUCCCCUCCCUCCUCUUUUUUAUUGAGAAGAGAGUGUGGAGAAACGCGUUGCUCAAAACCGAAAAGGGUCUUGAGAACAAUUCAUGUGCAUCCCAGAUUUCAGUCAUUUGAAAGCUGACCUUUAUUUUAGAAAGUUUCCAGACAUGAGGGAGAAGGGCAGAGAGAAGCCAGGGCCUUUCCUGUGCUGACAGCACGGGCCCCACCACUCUCCACUGGAGAAUCCCCACAGAUGACUCACAGAUUAGCCUGUACCAAUUCCAGUCUUAAUUUUCUUUUCUCUCGAUUAAUCCUUACACAGCUCUCCCCCCAAAAUAAAAUUAGAGCUGGAUCCUCCCCUUUCUUCAUUUCCUCCCACUCUCUACUUCAAAUACAGCAGUUAAAGCACGAUGUCCUAAGAAGACCACUUCAUUUGUACUCAGUCAUCCACAUUUAGGGGCAUCGGAAGGAAAAUGUUGCUGCUAUCCACAGCUUCCAGCCAUUUUCCUUGGCUCAGGUCAUCCAGUACCACGACUCUCCAAUUCUUUCUUGUCUCGUUACAUGUUUUAUAUCCUGUGAUACAAAGAACACUGGCUGCUAAGUGUGCUAUGCUAUACAUGUUUCAAGUUCCUCUUGUUUUCUUAGCAGUAGGCCUCCUGCUGAGGAACUGUUAAUCUUUUCAGCCUUAAUGUCACAACUGAAAUUGUCUUCUUUAGUCUCACUGGCACUCAGAAAUUUUGAGAAGGAAAGAAAGAAACCAGAAUACAACUUAUUUAGCACUACCACCAAGAUGCACUUCAAAACUGCAGAAACGUUCGCAAACUCAUACACCAAAACCAAGCUUUGUUCCCCUCAAACAUCACCCUUUCUUUAGCUGGACUUUCUUCAUAAUCACUGGUUAAUUUGCUACAUUCCCACUCAGUGCUCUUAUGCACACAUUUCUGUACCUGUGUGACUUCAGUUAGUGGUCAAAAAUAGAGCAGCUUCUCUAUAAAAUUUUAGCUUUAGAGCUUUAAGAAGGUGCUUAUAUUCCAGAAUGAAAUUUAUUGAUAUAAAGACCUCUAUCCUCAUGCAGCUGCAUCUGCUAUCAAAAAGAUUACACCACACAAAAUAUGCCCACACGUACACGUACAGCUACAUUGGCACAGACCCAGCACGUAGAUCAGGCACAAAUUUAUGGCACUCUGCUUCCCAAUUUCCCACUCCACUGCAAUGCAGACUUCAUGCUCUUAUGACUCAGGAAGGAGAUGCAUUGCUCCCACUAACACUUCUUGUGGAGAAGACUGCUCUGGAUAUCACAUCCAUAGGUGUCAUACUGGAAGAAUUCAUGAUGAAAAUCUUGAAACUUGAUGACCUACAAAGCAAGCCUAAAGGCAUCACUCCUUAUCACCACAUCUCUCUGGCCUACAACUUUGAGGAGACAAACUGCAGGCUAACAUCAUUUAGUUAUUCCCAUGAGCUGCAGUGUUGGGAACAUCCCAAAGCUAGGGAUGACAAGAGAGAGAAGCAUUGGUGACACACAAGGCACAGAAGAUGGCUGCAGACCCAAUUAGAGCAGGUCUGAGAUGGGUUUAUGACUUGUCUCACACAGCUCAUGGUUUCAGGUUGAGCUAAGGUUUCAGUCAAACUUCCGCACUGUGCUCCAGCCCUGGGGAACUACUUGCUGGUUCGGAAGUCUGGGAGCAAGAGAAACAUCAGCCAUUGGAGUCAGGUCAGGAAUAUAGAUUGAUGCAGCUAGACAACGGGACUGAUCCAAGACAGAUCUUGUUUCAGAAUGGGAAAGCUAUAGGGAAGCAGCUUUGCUCAGCAGCAGGUGAUGUAAUGUCUCUGGAAAGUAAGACAGACAGACAGCUCUGAUGAAUCCUCUCUCUGUCACAAGGACAAGAGCUGGGGAUGGAGGACAUCACACAAACGUGGGAAAAAGCAGAACAGAGGGAGGAAGGAACAAGCAGACGGGGAGGAGGAGGUGCUGAAAAACGGCAGGGAACAGCUCUUUCUGGGAGAGAGUAGCAAGGAUUUUGCAUUGAGAAAAGCUGUCGCCAGUUAUUUUCGUACAGAUUUUAAAGUUCACCGAACCCAGUUCUGGAAGUUGCAUGUUGUGUUUUUGGCUGGCAAUAUCAACGUACCAUAUGGAGAAGCCUCAGUUUGAGCUUUACAAUAUUGUUUGGAUUUGAUACUGACGUAUUUUCAUUAGCACAUCCACCUUGAAUUGUAUGUUCUUUUCUUUUGAUGGAUGAAAUAAACCCAUGAAACAAAGAAGCAAGACCUAGAAACAACAAAAGAAUUGCAGAAGGAAACUCUUCUGUUUUGAAUUAAACCUGAAAUUCAUUGACUUUAGCAUCCUGUCACUGACAGCAUCUACCCAAUAUGGUAGAUCCCAGACAAGAGGAAGAAGCAAGAAAUACUAUGCUACGGUAGAUACUAUAGAUGCUGCUUCUCCAUCUGUUUAUCCCAUUACUAUUGGACUGCUUCCCUGUUUAAGGGAUUUGCUGAACUACUGGAGCAAAGAGUCUAAAGAUAGCACUUAUAUUAAUUGAUACAAUAAUAACUGUAAGGCAACAGCUCCCACCUUCUCUCUGAGAAGAUCCUUAGUAGAAAAUCAUCUAGAAAAGAAAUUUGGAAUGGAUGAACAUAUGGAGGCUGAACGAAGUUAAACAUGUGGAGAACGGUAUGAACCCGAGUUCUCAAACACAGAAUUUGAAAUGACUUUCUGGCUUCAUAGGCUUAGCUUUAGGAAAUCUCUCCUUGUAAAGCCUUUCUCUUGUUCUGUUUUACUCUCCUCCAGAAAUUUUGACAAACUUACUUGAAAAGUGUUGGGAUUUUGUCACUCAGGACACUGAUUCCAUGCAUGUUCAUCUGAUCAGAGUGCCUGGCGUCAGCUCCUGGAGAGCUACUCUAAGGGAAGGAGAGCCACAGUGCCUUUCAGCUCAGACAAUGUCUGAAUGGAGUGAAGAGCAGGAGGAGUCAGAGCAAGGCCACAAGUCUUCAGUCAUGGGGACCACUGUCAAGAGAGAAGGGCACCUUAAUUUUCAGACCUAGCAGGCAGUAAGGAUGCCCAUAAUUAAACAGAUCGUUGUCAGGGGAAACAUAAGGGUCCCAAGAAAUCCUCUGAGAUGCACUGAGGAGCUGCAGGACAAUAGGGGAAGCCUAGGAAGACCAUCGUCAUCAGGGCAGUAUUAGCAUUUGGGUUUCUGAACUGACUGCAUUUUGUGGAACUCUUCAGCCAGCCUCUGUCCCAGCAUGAUGCUUCUCGCUACAGCCUACAGUUUAAUAAACUGUACUUUCCUCUGCUAAAUACCAUCAGCAGCACGAGAUCAAGCAGUAGUAAGAGGUUCUCCCACGCAUCUCUUCCCCCUUCUUGCAGCCUGUGCUGCACUAAACCACAUAUUUGCAUUUUCAGAGACUGGUUGCCUGAAACGUAAUUGAAGACAUACAGAUCAUCUGUUUACAGUAACAAAUUACAGUAAUUUCACUGAGACUUUCAUAACAAUUUUACUCCUAAACAUGCCUAUUUUUCAUAUGCAGUUAAAACACGAGCAAGAAGAUGGUGAGAUCAGAAAGCCUGCAAAGAUAAAGAAGGAAGACUGAAGUAAUCUCUGCUACGGAUAUAAGAAAAGUGGUACUGAGUGAUACACCUAUCUAAGCAGUGUAAGUCACACUGUGCAAGGGAGCCUGAUAACACUGAUCUUGCUCUAAAACCUCUUGAGCAUCCCUCCAGCAGUGGUGUCCAUACUCUUGGCAUCUCCAGCUACUUGCUUGUCAUUCCACAGGCUAGAAAAGCAAUUCAACUCCUAGGUAGUAUUGAAGCCACACAACACAAAUUCAAAUUGCACUGCUGCUUGACAUCUUGGUUCUCUGUAGACAUUCACUAGAGGGAAAAGCUCAGUUGCAUUCCAUAUUUUCAGGCUUUUCCUGUACAAGUGGGGAAAAAAAGGAAAGAGAGGCAGCAUAGACUCACGUUUAUUUGCACUGACUGUCGCAAUUAAAAACUG